rnacentral:lncRNA from 1 species
UGCUUUACAAUAUCAUUCAUGCGGGUUUGACUAUAUCGGUCGUGAUUGUCGAGCGUGUGGACUUGGAUACAAUUUCCAGUUCAACAGGUAUUCACUUUAAUCAGUUUUGUAUUGAAAGAAUCAAAUUGUAAUCAACAUUCAAAAACUGAACAAUAUUCAAAACAAGUAUAUUUGUCUAUUUGACGAAUUGCAUUCUUGUGCGUGAUAAUGCUGAGACUUUGGAU